rnacentral:rRNA from 1 species
UACCAGCACCCCGAGUGGUCGGGACGAUUAUUGGGCCUAAAGCAUCCGUAGCCGGCCUUACAAGUCCUCCGUUAAAUCCAGCUGCUUAACAGAUGGGCUGCGGAGGAUACUGUAAGACUAGGAGGCAGGAGAGGCAAGCGGUACUCAGUGGGUAGGGGUAAAAUCCGUUGAUCCAUUGAAGGCCACCAGUGGCGAAGGCGGCUUGCCAGAAUGCGCUCGACGGUGAGGGAUGAAAGCUGGGGGAGCAAACCGG